rnacentral:lncRNA from 1 species
GACAGGCCAGGAGUGGGGCCACAGAGGGUGGUCCCCGCUCUGCCAGCCUCUCCCACCCCUGCAAGCCCAGAGCCUCAGGGGGCGGGAGGGGGCGUGUCCCGUGGAGGCAGGUGGUCACCUCCAGGGGCACUGGUGGCUGAGCCCGGGGGGUUUAAAGCCCACGGCCCCCAGGCCAGGAACACACGGUGCUUUCGGUGUUUGUUCUGUUUCAGGUUAAUCUGAGAGGCUCUGUCGCCCAAUUUGUAAAACAAACCAGAUGGGAUUCACCCUCCUUCCUCCCUGUCCCCGCUCGGGACGCGGCUGGGCACUCACAGCCUCCUCACGAGGGCGGGCUCCAAGCCCUUCGGACUCCCCAGCCGAUCACAAGCGGAGCUCAAACUGGAAGCCGAGCCUUCUGACUCCAAGGCCCAUGCCAGUUCCGGGACACCUGUGUUUCCAAGAAGAGGCCUUCUGAGUUGGGUUUCGUGGGAUAAGUAGGAGUUCUCCAGACAGUGAGCGCUUCAGGCACAGGAAACAGUGAGUACAAAGGCCAGGAGGCAUGAACUUGGUGGCCUUGUUUGGGAGGCAGCAAGCAGAUAGCCUGGUGGGGCUGGGGCUGGUUCCUGGUGGGUUGUCUGCCUCCUGAAGGGUCUAUCUUCUGGACAAAAAGGAGCCAGUAACAUAUUGGAAGCAGGACAUGAUUGAAUGUGAGGUUCACUUUACUGGAGACCCAGUGAACACAGUUGUUCGUCAGAAAAUGAGAAAACCAAACACCGGCCAGCUUGCUGAGGGCUGUCCUUCAGCUUUGGGGCUGAUCUCAAGGGAAAGGACGGAGUUAACAGGUGCUAUACGGCUUCAGAAGGCCGCAGUGCCGUGGCUCAGGCUGUGUAGCCGCUUUGGAUGUUUCCAAGGUGCUCUGAGGGCUCGCCUCUUGUCUGAGCUCCAAGGGAACUUGGACUGUGGUCGAGAGAGACUGUUUUCCCCUUUGGACAGGGUCACCUGCGGGCUUAGCCGAACAGACCGGUGGGUUCCCCUCUGCCGCCUCUGA